rnacentral:rRNA from 1 species
GUGAGGAAUAUUGGUCAAUGGGCGAGAGCCUGAACCAGCCAAGUAGCGUGAAGGAUGACUGCCCUAUGGGUUGUAAACUUCUUUUAUAAAGGAAUAAAGUCGGGUAUGCAUACCCGUUUGCAUGUACUUUAUGAAUAAGGAUCGGCUAACUCCGUGCCAGCAGCCGCGGUAAUACGGAGGAUCCGAGCGUUAUCCGGAUUUAUUGGGUUUAAAGGGAGCGUAGGUGGACUGGUAAGUCAGUUGUGAAAGUUUGCGGCUCAACCGUAAAAUUGCAGUUGAUACUGUCAGUCUUGAGUACAGUAGAGGUGGGCGGAAUUCGUGGUGUAGCGGUGAAAUGCUUAGAUAUCACGAAGAACUCCGAUUGCGAAGGCAGCCUGCUAAGCUGCAACUGACAUUGAGGCUCGAAAGUGUGGGUAUCAAACAGGAUUAGAAACCCGGGUAGUCC